rnacentral:rRNA from 1 species
GAGUUUGAUCGUGGCUCAGGAUGAACGCUGGCGGCGUGCCUAACACAUGCAAGUCGAACGGAGUUCUUAAGGAAUGCGGCUUCGGCCAAAUGACUUUUGAACUUAGUGGCGGACGGGUGAGUAACGCGUGAGCAACCUGCCUUUCAGAGGGGGAGUAACAUUUGGAAACAGAUGCUAAUACCGCAUAAGAUUACAGUACCGCAUGAUACAGUGAUCAAAGGAGCAAUCCGCUGAAAGAUGGGCUCGCGUCCGAUUAGAUAGUUGGUGAGGUAACGGCUCACCAAGUCGACGAUCGGUAGCCGGACUGAGAGGUUGAACGGCCACAUUGGGACUGAGACACGGCCCAGACUCCUACGGGAGGCAGCAGUGGGGAAUAUUGGCACAAUGGCGAAAGCCUGAUGCAGCAACGCCGCGUGAGGAAGACGUUUUCGGAUUGUAAACCUCUGUUUCGGUGACGAACAAUGACGGUAACCGAGUAGGAAGCCACGGCUAACUACGUGCCAGCAGCCGCCGU